rfam:Cynopterus sphinx prion protein (PRNP) gene, PRNP-1 allele, partial cds.
GGGUGGUGGUGGCUGGGGCCAGCCCCACGGUGGAGGCUGG